AUGAUCGCGGAGGCCCUUGCAGCUCGGGAUGGAGUAAUCUUCGCAAAUCUCAGAGGGUUCACGCAUGUGGUGUUGGAGACCGACAGCCUGGAGGUGGUUAACCUCUGGAGCACUCGCCUCAACAGUCGUUCAGUUGUGGCAUCAAUUCUUUUAGAAAUUGAAGAGCUUUCUGCUAGUUUUCAUUCUUUUGUAAUCCAACAUGUAAGUAGAUAUGCCAAUGGUCCAGCUCAUCUUUGUGCAAAACGUGCUUGCACGGUGACUGGCACCGAAAGCUGGCUUACGGAGACUCUCAGCAUCUUGAUCAGCAGCCUUAUAGCUGAUUGUUCAAAGAACACUUUUGUUUAA
rnacentral:rRNA from 1 species